CUGCAGUGAUGACCAUUUAGGACACCUUUGUAUGAACCAUGAAAACAAACAAAGUCUGAGCCCC